rnacentral:rRNA from 1 species
UACGUAGGGUGCGAGCGUUAAUCGGAAUUACUGGGCGUAAAGCGUGCGCAGGCGGUUUUGUAAGCCAGAUGUGAAAUCCCCGGGCUUAACCUGGGAAUGGCAUUUGGGACUGCAAGGCUCGAGUGCGGCAGAGGAGACUGGAAUUCCUGGUGUAGCAGUGAAAUGCGUAGAUAUCAGGAGGAACACCGAUGGCGAAGGCAGGUCUCUGGGACGUUACUGACGCUGAGACGCGAAAGCGUGGGGAGCAAACAGG